rnacentral:rRNA from 1 species
AGGGUUCGAUUAUGGCUCAGGAUGAACGCUGGCGGCGUGCUUAACACAUGCAAGUCGAACGGGAUCCCAGGAGCUUGCUCCUGGGUGAGAGUGGCGAACGGGUGAGUAAUGCGUGACCGACCUGCCCCAUGCACCGGAAUAGCUCCUGGAAACGGGUGGUAAUGCCGGAUGCUCCAUCACACUGCAUGGUGUGUUGGGAAAGCCUUUGCGGCAUGGGAUGGGGUCGCGUCCUAUCAGGUAGUCGGCGGGGUAACGGCCCACCGAGCCUACGACGGGUAGCCGGCCUGAGAGGGCGACCGGCCACAUUGGGACUGAGAUACGGCCCAG